UUAUUUCCACCCUCAAUGAGUUCUGGACAUAUGCGAGAUUUUGGCUCGCUCGCUCGCGCUCUCUCUCUCUCUCUUCCCAAACUGAAACCCUGACUCUAGAGGGAGAAUGGCUUCAAUUUCAUUAUCCUCACUGUCGGUACCAUUUUCGACCUUACCCAAUUCCUCCAUUAGUAAUUGCAGACCCGAGUUUUCUGUUCUCUCUUUGCCUUCCUCAAUUUCCUCAAAGUUACAUGCCCUGAAACCCUAUCGAGUUUCCCCUUCCAGAACUUUUGCUGUUCCUGAAGUUUUGGAAUCCAAUGCUGCUUCUGAGGUUUGUUUUGUUAUCGACUCAGUUAUAAUUAUGUUUGAUAAUUAUGCACUUUUCACAUGAUUGAAAUGAUUUUCUUUUUGGGUUUUCUGGGGUCUUAGGACGAGGCUCCUUCCUCUUCAGUGCCGAGUGUUGGUACAGAUUCUGAGAAAGUAACUUCUCUUUUCUUCUUAUUCACCUGCACGCUAUGUUCUUUGUAUUUGGUUAUUAAUAUUGCUUUUGCUAAAAUUAUAGUAGCAGGAUUAAUUAGUUGUUGAGUGACAUUGCGUAUCAAUUGCUGCUGUAAUUAUCUACUUUAUCCUAAUUACUAUGAGGUAGACCAGUAGAGAGAGAAUGGAGUUAUGAAAUGCAAUGGCUCCAAUUAAAACACUGUCACUUUUCAUUGAUGUCAAUGUAUUUGCCUUAACACGUUCAUAUCUAAUACUGAAUCAAUCAGUAUUCAGUGCGAAGAAUUGUCUGCUAUAGGAAUUUGGUUUCACAUGAGCUUUGUAUAUUACAUCCCAGGAGAACCUUCCGGGCCCCAUUUAGCAGGGCUUUUGAAAAGCCAAAAGCGAUUUUGAUACUAAGAAAUUGCUUUUGAACAUGGUUGAAUAGUUUUCUGAAAGUGUUUUGUGUGGUAGAGGGAAAACUGAUUCUACAAGAUGCAGAAGCAAAAAUAUCUUCAUGAUAUUUUAAAGUCUCGUAGGGAUUAUCAUCGUAUUUCCCUCUACUAUUAAAAGAGCGAAUGCUGCAAUCACUAUUCAUUUGUGAAGUAUUUUCUUUUCCUAUUUUGCCCUUGAAUGGACUGUUGAUUAAUGAGGCCAUGCAUGGAAAAAAAGGGCAAUAUGAAUAUUUCAUUCAUCUCUUUCACUUUGGGUUGGGUUGGGUUGUAAUGUACUGAAACCCUAGACUAUUCCCCGCCCCAAAAAAGGCCACAAAAAUUUUUCACUCAAAAUCCUCGUUCUGUGCUAUACAUUCACCUAAAACUCUUUGACUUCGAAGUUCUGCUAUGCGUAUCGCUCGCUGUUGGAUAGCUUGUAAAUUUUUGGGCUGGCAAAGAAGUGUAAUCUUGAAGAAGCCCAGAUGCUCGUGCAAAAACUACAUCAGUACCAAUUAGAAGGCUCGAAUUCCGUAUUUUUUUAGAGUUUGAUUUUGGCUAUGAUUAAUUGGUUAUCCGCGCUUCUGAGAUUUAUGAUACUUGAAGUAUGAGGUUGAAUAAUGGUUGAAUUUCUUGAUAUGAACUGAAACGUAAUUUAUGUUAUAUUUUUGUUUUAAAUUUUUAGAAUUUGAAUUUCCUCUUGAAUUUGUGUGGGCAGGGAUGACCAUUUUACAGCUUUUUAAUGCCGGUUCUGCUUCAGAAAAUUCUUGAUUGACAAAGCUGCUUAUUUCUGAGCCAUCCAUUUGUUUUCCACCACCCAUUUCCUUAAUGCCCCUGUUGUUUCCUUUCUCACACAAAAUUGCCUCCUCAACCUUUGGUGAAAAUCUAAAACAAAUAGAGGACAUCUCUACAGGAAAUUGUAGAGUCUCGACUCCAAGUAUAUUCUUCUCAUACAAGUUUUUUUUUUUUUUUUUUUUUUUUUUUUUUUUUUUUUUUUUUUUUUUUUGGUAUUUUAUUUAAUUUUUUUCGAACUCUAUUCUUCUAUGUUUGUUUCAAUUUUUGUGAAAGUUUCCCAAAAAUUCAGAAAACUUCAUGUUUAGUGCAGUUUAGGGUUAUAAGUGAUGGAAUUGAUGUCUCUAUGUUUAAGUUAGGUUAGAGUCCAUUGUUUCUUUUUUGGGGAUUAUAGUUAAUAUUUGUAGUUGUACAUCCAGAAUUUUUUGGUUCAUUGUUGUUUGGUUGAAAGUUUAUAGUGUUGGGCUUAUUUAUAUAUCUGCAUACGUCGUGUUUUAAUUUUUUUUUUUCCCCACUAUGAGUUCUCCUGUGCAUCAAGAAUUACAAACCUUAAAUCAAGAUUUUAUUGUUUACUGUUUACAAUUUUUUUGAUUCCGCGUUGUUUUGCUUAUUUUAUUUCUUCUAUUUAUAUGGAAAAAGAAGGAAAAAAUGUUCAAGGAUUUUGAUUAGUUUAUAAAUAUCUGAUUUCUUGUUUUUCGCUUCUAUGACCAUUGAUUAUUCUAUUAUUAUUUACUUUAAUGGGUGUAAGACUCAUUACAGAUUUUUUAGCAUAUUUUUUAAUUUUUUUACUAAAUUUAUGUGCAAAUAAAAUGAGAAAUUAUUUAAAUGGAAGUCUCCUAAUUUUCAUGCAAUGCCAUUUUGUUAGUGUGCAUUAGUCCUAUGCAAUUAUUCAAGUGAGUAAAUUAUUGAUGGAAGUGUGUACCUUUAACGUGCUUGAACUUCCAGUAUAUGCUGUUUAGUUUUUAUUCACUUUUUCAUUCUUCAUGGAUAAUUUAUUUAUUUAUUAUUAUUAUUUUUAUUAUUAUUAUUAUUAUUAAUUUUUUUUCCCAUUUUGCUAGACAUCUAGCCAUACUUAUGCUGAGGUGCAAAAUGUAUUCCAACUAUAGUUUUUCUUGUGAAAAGAAAUUUAAUAACACCACUUCUCCUAGGAUGUCUUAAAUAUAUAAUAUGUAGAAAUAGAAUUGUAUCUUGAUGUGAAACUUUCGAAUUAUAUUGUAAUUUAGGCAACAUUCUUUCUUUUAUACAGAUGUUUGCAUUGAAAUUUUGUGAUAGAGUUUCUUGUCAAUCCUUGACAUUUUUAAGACGUUAACAUUACCUUCAAAAUAACACAUCACGUGCAUUGCACGGCAAAAAACUAGUAUCUUUAAAAUUUGAAAUAAGGUUGGUGUACUGUCUAUUACAGAUUGAACACGUGCUUAAUGCAUUAUAUUAUUGAUCUACAAAUUGUGUAUAUUAUUUUAAUACUUUCACACACAUGUAUAUUUAAAUUAUUAGGAUGAAAUGGAAUUAGACAAGGGUGUGAGGAAGACAGAGGAGUCAUUGAAUGAUAUAGAGUGCUUGACGGCAUGUCUCGUAUAAUGUCCACAAAUUUGUGAACUAGGAUCAACUUACUAUGCGAACCAACAAUGCAUUUCUCUACCAGGGCAUGAUCGUAUACCAAUGGAGGUCGAAGAUAGGUCUCAUAAGGUCUAAAAAUAAUUGGGGUUAAAGGCUAUCAAUCUCCACACAGAUCAAUCCAAUGGAAGGAAGAUAAGGCAUACAAAUAAUUGGGUUAAAGGUGCCCCUCAUGGGGUGGUUGAGUUGAUAGAGUAGGUGAGCGCGGAAACCUUUGGUCACGAGUUCGAUUUUCCCCGCCAACACUUUCUCGAUCUAGCUUGUCGAAUCGAACUUGCCUAGUGUGGUGUACCUGGCUGUCACGAUUUACCAAUGGAGGUCGAAGAUAGGUCUCAUAAGGCCUAAAAAUAAUUAGGGUUAAAGGCUAUCAAUCUCCACAAAAAUCAAUCCAAUGGAGGUAGAAGAUAUGGCAUACAAAUAAUUGGGUUAAAGGCUAUCAAUUUCCACACAAAUCAAUUAUUAAGCCGUUUGAUUAUCUUUUCAUUGUAUUCACUUCAUUAUUAGCGCAUGUUGGCACUCAGUUUAUAUCCAUUCAUGGUUGGUCCCAUAAGUUUUAAUGUUUUGAUGUUCCUUUCAUUUUGUUCCAUGCAUACUGAUAUUCCUAUGAAUUUGGCAUGUCCAAAUAAUUGAGUGCUAUAUUUUUACAUUUUCUUGUUGGAUAUUGAAGAAUUUGCGCACUUUUGUUCGGGAAAUAUCUGUAUUUAGAUUGAAUUUUGGUCCAUCUGAUACUUAGAUCAAAGUUUUAGCUGAUGAGAUUCCAUAAUAUAGUCCUAUUGUAAAUUGCUGUAAAAAUCUUACGCAUUAAGCCCUUGUUUCGUAAAAUUUAAAACUCGUCAAAGUCAACAAUUAAUUUUAUCUACACAUUUUAUAGGACACACAACUUUUCAACAACACAUUUCAUUAACUUUUAUAAUAAUCUGCUAAAAAUUUGAUUUUAAUACCUAUCAAAUAGGGGAUAAAUAUUUAUUGUGGUAAAAUUACCAAAAUAUCUCCCCAUAGCUACAAAAAUCACAUUUCUUCAAUUUCAUUUGCCAAGUUUUGAUUAUAAAUAUGGCAUCGAAACUAUUCUUCAAGAAAACCAAUCUCAAGAAUUUUAUGCAAAUUCCUCUUGCUCUCUAGAAAUAAGAAUGACUACUUUACUUUGUCUUACUUUUCUCCUCUUUCCCUUGAGUCUGUCAAGGUAAAUAAUGUUAGCUAAAGCUGCUGAGAUUGACUUCAUCAUUUACUUGAUAUUCAAACACAAUACAAGAUUUUACACCUUGAUUAUCACACUGAAAUCCAACGUCUACAAAUAGCAAAGAAAUAAUCACACAUGGAUCACAUCUGCCCAUCAAUUUAUUUUAUAAUGAGAUGAUAACAGUAGGUCGAGUACACACAAUUUAAUCAUCGUCAAUCCAUGCAAGAUCAACGUUUGACAUCCAGUGACAUGCCUCACCUUUUCCAGGGGAGAAUUUCAAUAUCUUAGAAGCUACAUGAUUCUCAAGCCAUGUCGAGAUAUCCAUGUGACAAAUUGAGAUCACGAUUUUAACUGGGAGUCGAGUUUUGGCUUCAACCAUGUCUACAGCAUAGAGUCGAGAUGAUAGGAUUGAGUGACAGAAAUAGGCUGCAAAUGGAGGAUAAACUUCAUGACAGACAAUUAUUUUCUGCCUAUCAAAUUUCUUGAUUUUUUUUUAUCAUAAAAUCCCCUGUUUUUGUGCUUUGUGAAGCCAGUGCAAGUGACUUCUUGUUGCCUAAGGCGAAUUUUGAAAAACUAAUCAUUUCUCCAAGGGAUUUUGUGCAAUUCUUGAUUCCUCCAUUUAUAACUUCUGCAUUACAAUAAAAAAGGGUAGUUUCAAUGGAAUUUUUCAAUAGUUUAAAGGACUUGAGAAAUAUUUUUCUGAUGUUUUUUCUGUUGAUAGAAAUUUUUGAAGCUAUUUCUUGAGGGAGAAAUGCGCAAUUCGAAUAUUAAUUUCUGAAUCUAGGGCCUGAAGAAAGAAAAAUUGUCUAUCUUAGUGGGUUGAAUAGUUGAUGCAUACUUAUUGUAUACUUUGACCAGUUUGUAUACUUUGGUCAGUUCCAGGAAUUUUUCAUAUUCAAAUGAGCAAGUGAGUUUUGCUAUUGAGCAAAAACUGGAAUUUUCUGAGAAUUCAUUUUUGGACAUCAUUUUAAUGUAAUAAUUCCGAUCCUUUUUUGUUAAUGGGGAUAGCUUUUUGAAAACAGAUUUAAACAUUUGGUUUUACACAUUUUCUGACCAGAACUUGAUAUGGUCGAAAGCGAUGGAUGAUAUACGGACUUGAGUUGACACAAAAGAAGUGAAGUAAAGACAAAAGAUCAAGAGAAAGAGGAGAAAAGUAGCCUUUUUUUUAUGACGAGGGAACUAGCGGAAUUGAGUGUAAUGCUAGAAACCCAAGAAAGUGUUUCCAAUCUAUGUAAUUGUUUAAUCUGAAAAGCAUGGCGUUAAAAUGAGUAAAGGCUAAUGGAAAACUUUGAGGAAGUGGUAGACGGAGGAUUUUGAGUCUACAAAUCUCAUUGGAUCUCUAUCAAAUGCGAGGAAUUCAUAUAUUUCUUCUAUUGUCGGAAAAGUUUUGUGAACUUUUCAAGAGUAUUUGCAUUUAGGCCAUCUCCAUUGCUAAGGGCAUCCUUGAUUUCUUUGUGCAAAACGCCAAGUGAUUUGAGUACAAUUGCUGUGGUUUGGGACUUUAUGGUGUCGAGAAUGAAAAUCUGGGAAGCUGGACCGAAUCUAUCCCUUAUCCUGGUUGUUGAAUUAAUGUCUUGUCAAGGAGAUUUUCGAUUGAUGGCAACAUAUCCAAAGAGAGCUUCAACAAGAUGGCCAUUGUUGACCUCGCAAAUUGGACUUCCACGUGGUCAACCAAGAGCCACUCCACGUGUUCCUCCCUGCACACAACAACAUAUGGUCAGGAGCACACUGUCGGAACCAACGAGGGUGGUGGCAAUCAAAUACACUCCGACGGUCAAGUCAGUGGUCGAUGAUCGGAACGAUACCGAAAUCGUGCAAGAGAGUGAGGAGAAUAUGAUGCUUGAAGCUUGUGAACUAAGAUCAACUUACUAUGCGGACCAACAAUGCAUUUCUCUACCAGGGCAUGAUCGCAUACCAAUGGAGGUCGAAGAUUGGUCUCAUAAGGCCUAAAAAUAAUUGGGGUUAAAGGCUAUCUAUCUCCACACAAAUCAAUCCAAUGGAGGUAGAAGAUAAGGCAUACAAAUAAUUGGAAUAAAGGCGUCCCUCAUGGGAUGAUCGAGUUGGUGGAGUAGGUGAGCGCGGAGGCCGUUGGUCACAAGUUCGAUUCUCCCCACCAACACUUUUUUGAGUCGCACCAGACUUGUCUAGUGCAGUUUACCUGUCUGGCACGAUUUACCAAUGGAGGUUGAAGAUAGGUCUCAUAAAGCCUAAAAAUAAUUAGGGUUAAAGGCUAUCAAUCUCCACACAAAUCAAUCCAAUGGAGGUAGAAGAUAGGGCAUACAAAUAAUUGGGUUAAAGGCUAUCAAAUUUCACACAAAUCAAUUAUUAAGCCGUUUGCUUAUCCUUUUAUUGUAUUCACUUCAUUAUUAGUGCAUGUUGGCACCCAUAAAUUUUAAUGUUUUGAUGUUCCUUUCAUUUUGUCCCAUGCAUAUUGAUAUUCCUAUGAAUUUGGCAUGUCCAAAUAAUUCAGUGCUACAUUUUUACAUUUUUUUUUUUUUUGGAUAUUGAAGAAUUUGCGCACUCUUGUUCGAGAAAUCUUUGUAUUUAGAUUGAAUUUUGGUCCAUCUGAUAAUUAGAUCAAGGUUUUAGAUGAUGAGGUUCCAUAAUACAGUCCUACUGUAAAUUGCUAUAAAAAUCUUAUUCAUUAAACCCUUGUUUCGUAAAAUUUAAAACUCGUCAAAGCCAACAAUUAAUUUUAUCCACACAUUUUAUGGGACCCACCAUUUUUCAACCACACAUUUCAUUAACUCUUAUCAAAUUCUGCUAAAAAAUUGAUUUUAAUGCCCACCAAAUAGGGGCUAAAUAUUUAUUGUGGUAAAAUUACCAAAAUAUCCCCCAUAGCCACAAAAAUCACAUUUCUUCAAUUUCACUUGCCAAGUUUUGAUUUUAAAUAUGGCCUUGAAACUAUCCUUCAUGUAAAUAUCUUGAGGAUUUUAUCUGAAUUCCUCUUGCUCUCUAAAAAUAAGAAUGGCUACUUUUUUUUUGCCCUUCAUGGAGUGGUCGAGUUGGUGGAGUAAGUGAGCGCGGAAACCUUUGAUCAUGAGUUCGAUUUUCUCUACCAACACUUUCUCGGUCGAGCCUGUCACACAGGACUUGCCUAGUGCGAUUUACUUGGCUAGCGUUAGCUAUUGCGUCAGUUCAAGGGUUUAUUCAGUGCACACCCGAAAGGUAGCGGUUGCGGGUUCCUCCGUCAUAAAAAUAAAAUAAUAAUAAAAAUAAAAAAUGGCUACUUUACGUUGUCUUACUUUUCUCCUCUUUCACUUGAUCUUUUAUCUUUACUUCACUUCUUUUGCGUCGACUCAAGUCCCUACAUCAUCCAUCACUUCCGAUCAGAUCAAGUUCUGGUCAGAAAAUGUGCAAAACCAAAUGUUAGAAUCUGUUUUCAAAAAGCUAUCCCCAUUAACAAAAAAUGAUUGGGAUUAUUACACUAAAAUGAUGACCAAAAAUGAAUUCUCAGAAAAUCCCAAUUUUUGCUCAAUAGCAAAACUGUCUUGCUCAUCUGAAUAUGAAAAUUUCCUAGAACUGGCCAAAGUAUACAAAAUGGUCAAAGCAUACAAUAAGUAUGCAUCAACUAUUCAACCCACUAGCGUAGACAAUUUUUCUUUCUUCAGGCUCUAAAUCCUUAGAGAAUGAAAUAUAUUCCAUAUCCUAGAUUCAGAAAUUAAUAUUCCGAAUCGAGCAUUUCUCCCUCAAGAAAUAGCUUCAAAAAUUUCUAUCAGCAGAAGAAACAUCAGAAAAAUAUUUCCCAAAUCCUUUAAACUACCGAAAAAUUCCGUUGAAACUACCUUUUUUUAUUGUAAUGCAAAAGUUAUAAAUGGAGGAAUCAAGAAUUACACAAAAUACCUUGAAGAAAUGAUUAGUUUUUCAAAAUUCACCUUAGACAACAAGAAGUUACUUGCACUAGCUUCACAAAGCACAAAAACUGGGGAUUUUAUGAUAAAAAAGAUCAAGAAAUUUGAUAGGCAGAAAACAAUUGUUUGUCAUGAAGUUUAUCUUUCAUUUGCAGCCUAUUUCUACCACUCAAUCCCAUCAUCUCGACUCUAUGCUGUAGACUUGGUUGAAGCCAAAACUCGACUUCCAAUUAAAACCGUGAUCUCAAUUUGUCACAUGGAUACCUCGGCAUGGACUGAGAAUCAUGUAACUUCUAAGAUACUGAAAUUCUCCCCUGGAGAAGGCGAGGCAUGCCACUGGAUGUCGAACGUUGAUCUUGCAUGGAUGGCGAUGAUUAGAUUGUGUGUACUCGACCUACUGCUAUCAUCUCAUUAUAAAAUAAAUUGAUGGGCGGAGAUGAUCCAUGUGUGAUUAUUUCUUUGCUAUUUGUAUAUGUUGAAUUUCAGUGUGAUAAUCAAGGUGUAAAAUCUUGUAUUGUGUUUGAAUAUCAAGUAAAUGAUGAAGUCAAUCUCAGUAGCUUUGGCUAACAUUAUUUAUCUUGACAGACUCAAGGGAAAGAGGAGAAAAGUAAGAAAAUGUAAAGUAGUCAUUCUUAUUUCUAGAGAGCAAGAGGAAUUUGCAUAAAAUCCUCAAGAUAGGUUUCCCUGAAGAAUAGUUUCGAGGCCAUAUUUAUAAUCAAAACUUGGCAAGUGAAAUUGAAGAAAUGUGAUUUUUGUAGCUAUGGGGGGGAUAUUUUGGUAAUUUACCACAAUAAAUAUUUAGCCCCUAUUUGGUGGGCAUUAAAAUCAAUUUUUAGCAGAUUUUAAUAAAAGUUAAUAAAAUGUGUUGUUGAAAAGUUGUGGAUCCCAUAAAAUGUGGGGAUAAUGUUAAUUGUUGACUUUGACGAGUUUUAAAUUUACGAAAUAGGGGCUUAAUGCGUAAAAUUUUUACAGCAAUUUACAGUAGGACUGUAUUAUGAGACCUCAUCAUCUAAAACCUUGAUUUAAUUAUCCGAUGGACCAAAAUUCAAGCUAAAUACAGAGAUUUCUUGAACAAAGAUGCGCAAAUUCUUCAAUAUCCAACAAGAAAAUGUAGCACUUAAUUAUUUGGACAUGCCAAAUUCAUAGGAAUAUCAGUAUGCAUGGGACAAAAUGAAAGGAACAUUAAAACUUAUGGGACCAACCAUAAAUGGAUAUAAACUGAGUGCCAACAUGCGCUAAUAAUGAAGUGAAUACAAUAAAAAGAUGAGCAAAUGGCUUAAUAAUUGAUUUGUGUGGAAAUUGAUAGCAUUUAACCCAAUUAUUUGUAUGCCCUAUCUUCUACCUCCAUUGGAUUGAUUUUUGUGGAGAUUGAUAGCCUUUAACCCUAAUUAUUUUUAGACCUUAUGAGACCUAUCUUCGACCUCCAUUGGUAAAUUGUGCUAGCCAGGUAAAUCGCACUAGGCAAGUUCGGUGCGACAGGUCGAUCGAGAAAGUGUUGGUAGGGAGAAUCGAACUUGUGACCAAAGGCCUCCGCGUUCACCUACUCUAACUCAACCACCCCACGAGGGGCGCCUUUAACCUAAUUAUUUGUAUGCUCUUCACUCCAUUGGAUUGAUUUGUGUGGAGAUUGAUAGCAUUUAAUUCCAAUUAUUUUUGGGCCUUGUGAGACCUAUCUUCGACCUCCAUUGGCAUGCGAUCAUGCCCUGGUAGAGAGAUGCAUUUUUGGUCCGCAUAGUAAGUUGAUCUUAGUUCACAAAUUUGUGGACAUUAUACAAGACAUGCCGUCAAGCACUCUAUAUCAUUUAGUGACUCCUCCGUCUCCCUCACACCCUUGUCUAAUUCCAUUUCAUCCUAAUAAUUUAAAUAUACAUAUGUGUGUGUGAAAGUAUUAAAAUAAUAUACACAAUUUGUAGAUCAAUAAUAUAAUGCAUUAAGCGCGUGUUCAAUCUAUAAUAGACAGUACACCAACCUUAUUUCAACUUUUAAAGAUAAAUACGUAUUGAAAUUUUGAGGUAAUAUGGUACUAUGUACAUUUUAUAAAUAUUAUUUAGAAAAAAUGCAAAAUAAUUNNNNNNNNNNNNNNNNNNNNNNNNNNNNNNNNNNNNNNNNNNNNNNNNNNNNNNNNNNNNNNNNNNUUGAAUUAUAACAUUGUAUAUUAUUAUUAUUAGGUGGCCACGGUUGUCACAUUACGUUACUAUAAUAUUUUGCAAAAUGGACCACAAGUCCUUUUCACACUAUUGAAUUCUAUUAAAGCAUCCAAUCAGAAUUUAAACACCUUUCCUUUACUUCAUAAGCGUGGUAAGUAUGGUAAAAUUGCGUGGGUUGCAGGUGUUGACGGGGAUGAGUGAGUAAUAGUUGGUUGGAGGAGGUGAUUUACUAAUAUUAUUUUUUUAAAUUUUUUCUAGUUGUUAAUAUGUAUUUGAUUGUUUUAAUUGAGACACUUUUUAAAAAGUUAUGUGAUUUGAAUUGCAAUUUUUCUUAUUUUUUGUGUGGAAAUUGAUAACCUUUAAUCCAAUUAUUUGUAUGCCUUACCUUCUACCUCCAUUGGAUUGAUUUGUGUAGAGAUUGAUAGCCUCUAACCCCAAUUUUUUUUUAGGCUUUAUGAGACCUAUUUUCGACCUCCAUUGGUAUGCGAUCAUGCCCUGAUAGAGAAAUGCGUUGUCGGUCCGCAUAGUAAGUUGAUCUUCUAAAUUUUAACGAACAAGUUGAUCAACAAACAAUCAGUCUCCAACUAUGAAAAUCGUUUAAAUUAUAAUUAAAUCAUUAUGAAAAUUAGCCUCACUUCAAAUUUGUAGGCCCAGCCUACGUGAUGAUUUAACAAAUAUUUUGGCCUUUUUUAUUUCAUUAGUUGACACGCACGUUGCAUUUAUAAAAUUGGAACAAUGAGUGACUUAGGCUAUUAUAUAGUAGAAAUGUGCUACAUGUAUAGAAAUUUUCCUCACAAAAAUCUUACAGACAAGACAUAGCAGGGCGUGGGUGGUUUAUUUUUUGCAAUAAAAUAUUCACAUGGGUCCCACCCCAUGUAAAAUUUCUGUGAGGCUUUUGUAAGGGAGAUUUUCGUAUCUUCAGUUUUUAUUGUAUAUAGUAAAUGUGUAUGGAUAUGGUGAUAGAAGAAUUAUGAAUGAUUCACACAUAUAUCUCACGCGGAAUAAUUAUGGCAUACCUUAAAUAAGAACCUCAAGUUGGAAAUAACAGAUGGAUGAUUUUUGUACUGAAAGGAGCACGCAUAUAGAAACGGCAACAGAGAAAAGGUUUUGGGAACAUGAGAUAAAUGCUUUUCUUCCGAUAAUUCUUUUUAUCAAUCAAGGUAGAAUUACGAGGUGCAAGUGGUUGGUCCCGUUUGAUUUAUUUCUUCAUGUUAAUAAAUAUUAUGUUAAUCAAAGUUAUGGUAUGAUAUGGUAUGACCAUCCAAUACCAAAGAUAUGAUAUGUAUUGAAUUCUUAUCGAUUUCUAAAUAUAUAAUAAUGGUAUGAUAUUUUUGACACAUGAUUUAAUAUUUUUAUUUGGGACUGUACCGUUAUUCGUUUUCUACUGAGUAUUUCCGUGUACUCACAAUUUCUCCUACCCCUCAU
rnacentral:lncRNA from 1 species